UGGGGAAUAUUGCGCAAUGGGGGAAACCCUGACGCAGCAACGCCGCGUGAGCGAUGAAGGCCUUCGGGUCGUAAAGCUCUGUCUUCGCUGACGAUAAUGACGGUAAGCGAGGAGGAAGCCACGGCUAACUACGUGCCAGCAGCCGCGGUAAUACGUAGGUGGCGAGCGUUGUCCGGAAUUACUGGGCGUAAAGGGUGCGUAGGCGGCUCUUUAAGUGAGGUGUGAAAGCCCUGGGCUUAACCCAGGAAUUGCACUUCAAACUGGAGAGCUAGAGUGCAGGAGAGGAAAGUGGAAUUCCCAGUGUAGCGGUGAAAUGCGUAGAGAUUGGGAGGAACACCAGUGGCGAAGGCGACUUUCUGGACUGUAACUGACGCUGAGGCACGAGAGCGUGGGGAGCAAACAGG
rnacentral:rRNA from 1 species